rnacentral:rRNA from 1 species
AAUAGAUACCCGGGUAGUCCACGCCGUAAACGAUGAGUGCUAAGUGUUAGAGGGUUUCCGCCCUUUAGUGCUGCAGCUAACGCAUUAAGCACUCCGCCUGGGGAGUACGGCCGCAAGGCUGAAACUCAAAGGAAUUGACGGGGGCCCGCACAAGCGGUGGAGCAUGUGGUUUAAUUCGAAGCAACGCGGAGAACCUUACCAGGUCUUGACAUCCUCUGCCAACCCUAGAGAUAGGGCGUUCCCCUUCGGGGGACAGAGUGAUAGGUGGUGCAUGGUUGUCGUCAGCUCGUGUCGUGAGAUGUUGGGUUAAGUCCCGCAACGAGCGCAACCCUUGAUCUUAGUUGCCAGCAUUCAGUUGGGCACUCUAAGGUGACUGCCGGUGACAAACCGGAGGAAGGUGGGGAUGACGUCAAAUCAUCAUGCCCCUUAUGACCUGGGCUACACACGUGCUACAAUGGAUGGUACAAAGAGCAGCGAACCCGCGAGGGUAAGCCAAUCUCAUAAAGCCAUUCUCAGUUCGGAUUGUAGG